UUCAACUCCAAUCUCUUAGGUUCCUUCAUGAAAAAUUGUCUACACAUCAUAAGGAAGAGUUUGAUACCAAAUUUGAGAAGUUUAAUCAAGGUUUGGCAAGUUCCAACCAUAAGGACACUUGGGUAUUGAGGAGGAUUUUCGGCAGCCUUGAACCUCUUGGAUAAGUGUAUGUGUUCAUGAAGAUAUAGGCAGAAUUGUAGCAUUAAGGAUUGAUGGAUAUGUAUAUGAAUUUGUUGUGUAAAGUAUAUGUAAAAAACUAGUAAUGUUUAUGUGUAUGUGUAAUUGUAUUUGGACUUUGGGAAUUAGAGUUAUAUUUGGUGUGUUGAGGAUAA